UCCCGGUUCCGGCUGCGCGCGGGCAGAGCCCUAGAAACAACGAAAACCGCGAGCAGCGUUGCUUUCCGGACGUCGGAGUCCCGGAAGCCUCUGGGUGCGAGCCGGUCCUCCGCGUCCCUAGAUGCCCCAGAGCCGAGCUCACCGCCGGGCCGCCGGUACAGGAGCAGACUCUCCCAGUCGGCUUGCCAGCAAUCCACCCUAGACGUGACCUCGGAGGAGGAGCUGCGGGGAGAUGCUUCUCUGAACCUCAGUUUCCCCACCUGUGCAACGGGGCCAUAUGUUCCUGCGCCCCUCCCGGGGUUGAUGUGGGAUUGGCGGGGAGAGAGAACCUGGAAAAGGCCCGACGGGGCCCAGUUCUGCCCACCUUUUGGGGCCAGGUUUGCGCUGGUGGGGUUCAGCUGUCGUGCACAGACUAGAAGGGGCCCAGGUUGCUCCUAGCGAUCGCCGCUCUCCCCCCAUCUCCUCCAUCUCCCCCCGCCGCCCUCACCCCGGAACUCCCCUCUCCGCGGGCGCGCGGUGGAGGUGUGAGGGUCCUGCUUGGCGCCUAGGCGUCUCCGCUCAGCCUCUGGCCGGGAUGUUGCUCACCCUGGGCGUUUCUCUCAGGUUCCUUUGAGGCCCCGCGUGCAGAAAGCUUUUAAGGCAAAAGGCUCCUACUCUUGGGGUGGUACCACCGGACACCCCAGAUCUCGCAAAGGGUGGGUAAUGGGACUGCCCCAGGAGGGGACAGGAUUCCAGCUGAGCUCCUAGAAGGGAAUUUACCCCUCCCUACCCGCUCCAUUUGCCGCCGUAGGGGGUGGCUAGCUUGUCUGGGAGGGGCCCUGGGGCACAUGACCUUGGGUUUAAAGAACAGCCUGGGGACUUCCUUGGUGGUCCAGUGGUUAAGAGUCUGCCUAGCAAUGCAGGGGCACAGAGCCGAUCCCUGGUCAGCGAGCUAAGAUCCCACAUGCCAAGAUGCAGGGCCAAAAAAUUAAAAUUAAAGAAAAAACUAUCAGCCUUGAACUAUGAAGCUGAGCCGUAAGGGAGAGAAUUGAGGGACUGAAUGCCUUCAUUCGGGGGGGGGGGGGCAUGGCCUGCUUAAAAUGUCCAGGCUGCUCACUGCUUCUGGACAAGACCAUUGGAGGGUAAGGGGUGGGGAAUCGGGUGGCCAGGGGGGACCAAAUGGAUAGCCUCUCCCCAGGUCCCUUUUACCUGCUGCUAAACCAGUCAUUGCAGGAAGCUCUUGUGAACAAGCAAGAAAACAGAAGAGCCCAGGACCGCCCCAGGCAGGGUAAAAAAAUCCCCCCCCCCCNCCCCCCCGUGCUGCCUGACCCGAAGCUGAUGGAAUUGGUCAAGGAUUACCAUCCCCUGGGGCAGGGCCGCCUGCUUCUGCUUCAGGCACCCAAAGCCCACAACCCUGGGGCUGCAGGGAAGGAGCGGGCACUCGCGGUUCUUGGCUCCACUGCCCCUGCCAGGAACGUCUCCACCUCUGAGGCAGUGGGGCUCCCUCCACCUCCACCCUCGCACAUCCGCAGGAGGUUCCCUGAUGAAGGAAGGACCAGUGGUGGCCAGAGUGGCAAGUCAGGGGACCUCACUGAGGACUGAGGGGCUAGGGUAGCAGCCCCUCACUCACUGGAGUCCCCCCACCCCCGCUGUGGUAUUAGUGAAGUUAUUAUGAGAGUCCUGCCGGGUAGGGGGCAGCAGAGGGACUGCCUGAACAUUGCCCCCGCCACUCACACAGGACGCCCCCUGCUUCCCUUGGUGGGGAGGGAGCAGAUCAGAGGAACUUAGCUUAGUCAGAGCCAGAGGCUUCCCCAUUCUACCAGGGGCUCCCGGGCAGCCCCCUCCAGCUUCCUAGGCGUCCCAGUUGCCCACAGUGUAAUAUGGAGGUGGAAAAGUGGGUGUUGUGGGCAUAGCUGCAGGCAAGUGUGCUGCCUGGUGCCUCCUGGGAGCUCAGGUUUUUGGAGCUGGGACAGCUAGCAGCAGGGUUCCCUGCACCCUCUACCCCUCCUCUCCCCGAACCAAAGCCUGUUCCUCUGGCUCUGACCUGGAUUCAUGGAGGACUGUUCCCUUCUCCCUUGCUGGAUACAGAGGGCCAGUCAGACCAGAACGAAGGACGGGGCUCCUGGGAGCCUGGGUUCCCCUCCCCCUGUGGCUCUUCAUGGGUUCCCAGAGUCAGGCCCACCCUGCCUUCAGCGCCUCUCACAGGUCACCAUGUGCCUGCUGAGAGGCCGAGGCUCUCAGACCAUGUGCAGACUGCAUUUAUUCAUUCAGUCAUUGACUUAUGGCCAGAAGCCGUGGUAAGGCUGGGGCUCCUGAACUUACAGCAACACGGUGCUGAGCUGAAGUGAAGGCUGUUUGUUGCCGCACACCUGCAGCUUCCAGAGCAUCUUACUCUGCCCUCCCCCUGCUCCCCCAGGGUCCCAGUGCCUGGGACUGUGCUUGGAGCUCAGUGAAUGAAAGAAUGAAUGAAGAGGGCUGAGUGAGUUGAAAGUGACCCUGGGAUCCCCGAAGGCUGAUCUCAGCCCUAGAAAUGGGGGAGGGGAGGUCCAGGUGACCUUCCAGGCCGUGGCCAUGGGGCCACAACCCUGUGCUGAGCAUCCUUUCCCUGCCCUACACCCAGUAGCCUGUGCCAAGUGACAGGGACGCAGCAGUGAGCAAACCACCCAAGUGCCCUGAUGUGCAGCACAUGAUUUGGAAAAGGGAAGACCACUUGCUCAGGGGUGAGUGAGUGGGUGGUGUCAGCCGGGUGCUGGGGACAGCGGACACUGGCAGAAAGAGCAUCCUCUGGAGACAUGUGGUCUGUCCCUCAGUUCCCUGGCCUGGAGUAUGGAGCCUAGGGGGUACUGGGGCUCCAGAGCCAGGCAGGGUGCUGGCAGCUGCCCCAGUCACUCCCACUCUUGUGCUCCGUCCCAGUGCUUAUGGCCCUAAUGCCACACCGUGGAACCCCAGUGAGGAGACACUGGUGCUCAGAGGAGCAAGGACUUUCCUGGGAGGGAGGGCAGUGGGAGUCACCUGGCUGACACAGAGCCCUGCUCCAGGUGACCCAUGAAGGAUGUCUGCAGAGGGAGGGGUUUCCAUCUGGGACCUUUCCUGGUUUCAUGCCCUGCCAGAAUUGUGAGCUCCAAAGGGAGAUCCUGACGAUGACCGAGAUGUUUAUUUGCCUGUGUCCAGAAAGGCUUGGCCGCAAGAGUUUGUAUUUCCUCAGAGUCUAGCUGUUGCUGGAGAGUCAGGACCCCUCUCAGUGUGGACAUCCCAGGGCCAUUCUGGGGCACAGACCAGUGGCUUUGGGGGCCUGGUUUGGAGCCAAUAUUUCAAGCAAGUCAGGCUUAGAAUCUGGGCUUCUGGGAAGAAAUUUCCAAUCAUGAAAUGUGUCAUUUGAAAAAAUAUAUGUGUCAGUUAAGUGUGCACUGAGCCUGGACCACAUGGGAUAGGGCUGUUCUAAUAAACACGAAUAAGCCCGUUUUCACAUUAGAGAAAUAACAGUUUCAAGUAGAAAUGUGGUGCUUUUAAAAGAGGUUAAUUAAUAAACAGCAGGUAAUUGUUCAUGGCACAUGGUGGCAGAGGGUAAUUUUCAUUUUAGAGGAGAGAAGGGCCAAAUGCCCCCCCAACUCAGAUUUUUUGUGUAAUAAUCACCUUGGCUUCACCUCCGCCUUUAAUUUUUACAGCUGGAGCUGUUUAUCAUCGCUCCAACUUUCACUAAAAAGGAAAAACUAUCACUUAAACAAAGCCAUUGAAAACUCAGCAUCAUAUGUGGAUUUCUUAACAUAAAUAAAUCAUACAAACCAAGAUUUAUGUUCUCCCAAUGAUGUCAUUCGCUGAAGGCUGCCUUCCCAAUCAAAUCAGUGGUUAGUGACUCUCCUUUUGUGUGUGUGCUUUUUGCAAAAUAAGAAAAGCAGCACUGGCAUCCUGGCUGCUCCCUUUCUCUGCUCCGCCCAGGACAUCAGAAAGGUCUCUCCCUGCAACAGCACAACUGGGUCUAAACGGUGAGCACAGAUUCAGCGCCACAGAUGGCAUUUCAAGCCUUUGUUUUUGAAACGCAAGUUCUAAGUUGAAAGACUGUUAAGGCUUCCUGAAGGAUUUGCUCAGACCCCAGCAGAAGCUGGGGAGCCUGGGGGUCUCUCAGAGCCUAGGGUGAGUUUGGUUGCAGGGUCAUCACAUUGAAAUGAGCGAGGACCGCGACAGUCACCUGUGAUGGGGAGAUGAGAUGUGGUCGCUCCGUAUAGUGGAGGAAUGUCAGUCACAGCAAAGAACGAAGCCCUGAUGUGGACCACAGUGUGCACAAAGUCAGCAAAUGAAGCGAAUCAGAGCAGGUCACAUACCAUUCCAUUCCACCUACGUGACAUGUCCAGGAUGGGCAAAUCCACAGAGACAGAAAAGAAACAAGUGGUUGCCAGGGUAGGGGAGAGGACGUGGUGGGUGACUGCUUCCUCGGCACAGGAUUUCCUUCUGGGAAGAUGAAAAUGUUCUGGAAACAGACGCCCACUUUAUUUAUUUACUAAAGUCUUCCUUGUUUGUUUGUUUUUAUUGGCUGCACCGGGUCUUAGUUGCAGCACAUAGGAUCUUCAUUGCAGUAUGCAGGAUCUUUAGUUGCAGCAUGCAAAGUCUUUGUUGCAGCAUAUAGGAUCUAGGGGUCAAAUCCGGGUCCUCUGUGUUGGGAGAGCAGAGUCUUAGCCACUGGACCACCAGGGACAUCCCAGACAGCCCACUUAAAAAUGGAGACUGUCAUACUAUGUUAAUUGUAUCUCAAUAAAUCUGUUAUUUAAAAAUCA